AAAGUCCUUGCUGGGUAAGGUCUAGCCAACCACCCAUAUCGAGUGUUGCGCCGAAACUGGCAACAGUAAGGCGAAGCGUACACAGAGAACUAUAUAGGCCAUAGGGGGAACCGUAACUCCUGAAGCAAAUUCAGCCUCGUAAACGUGAUAAAUGCAGAUGGCGACGUGUUUAACGUCACGGAAGCCAACACAGAGGGAUCGAAAAGGCAAGAUUCCCGAGGGUCUGCCGGGGUCAGAGAACA
rfam:Dehalobacter sp. CF, complete genome.